rnacentral:lncRNA from 10 species
GUAAAAUUGAUGAAAAGUGAUACAAAAAGCUGUUUUCACUCCAUACUACCACCUCAAAAGAAAACCUUCACUAUAAGAGGCCGAAUCAGUGACCCUCCACAUAUGCUCUAAUUCCUGGGUCCUCUGAAUGUGUUAGGUUACAUGGUAAAAGGGGCUCUGCAGAUGUAAUUAAGGUUAAGGAUCUUAGAUGAAAAGAUUAUCCUGGAUAUCCCUGUAGUCUGAUCUAAUCGCACGGGCCUUUAAAAGCAGAAAACUUUCUCAGGUUGGAGGCAGUGUGACACAGCAGCAUAAGUUAGAGAGAUCUGAAGCAUGGGAAGGCUCUGAGAUGGGACCCACAGGCAAGGACUUCAGAGGCCUCUAGGAAAUCAUGGAAAGCAUGAGAAGGAAUGUGGGCAGCCUCUAGGAGGAAAGACCAGGCUUCAACUGACAGCCAGCAUAAAAACAGGAUCUCCAACAACUUAAAUAACCUUGGAAGUAAAUUCUUCCCCAGAGCCUCCGAAAACACAACAAUGUACCGGACACAUAAAUCACCAAGAAUGAAAGAGAAGGAAGAUCUAUCACAGUUUGCAUCUGCAAAGCCUAAAUGAGUUGUCUAAGUUUGGGCUAUUUCAUGAAAACCAUCAUACAAUUUGGCAUAACUUAUAGCUUAUUUCUCAUUAUUGUUGAAAGGUUAGGGGUGAGUUAAGAUGUCCUUUCAUUAUUAAAACUAUAUUAGCCCACUGAAUUAACUAAUACAGUUUCCACUGUUUUUAGACAAGUAUAACAGAUCACUAACUCUUAUAUAAAUCUCAUUUUAAAAAUUAGUAUUACUGGGUAAAUUUUGCCCUUUGACAUCUAUCUGGUUACAAAAAUAAUGCAUUUUUACCAACUAAUAAUCCUCCAUUAAAUGCCAAUAAAUCAGGUGGUUACUCUAGACUUCACCACUACACAAUAUAUCCAUGUAACAAAACUACACUUGUACCCUUGUAAAUCAUAAAAAUAAAGAAAAAUGCCAAUAAAUGUCAAAUACAUUCAAAGUACAAGAGACAAAAGAGAGUCUGGAGGUGCCUGGUCCAACUUUGUCAUUUUAUGCAUGAGGAAAGCAGGUUCCUCAGGCCAUAAGCAACUAGUUGCUGGCAUGGCCAGAAGCCUUCACCUAAUCUCAGAGCACUUCUGUCUCCUUUGAGUCCCUCACCCCUCAAAACAGGACAGCACUAUUCAAGAUUCACUUUACCUCACAGAUUUUCAGUCUUCAAGAUUCCCAAAUUUUUUCAUGGAAAAUUUCUUCACAUCAUUUGGGAUUUGGCUCAAAUAUCACCUCCUCACAGAGGCCUUCCCUAACCUUUGGUAAAGAGUAACUGAUGCUUUACCAAGGGUUUAGAAUUUUAUUUCUCAAGAU